CGUGGUCAUUGCAGAAGCCAUGUCGAUACCUGGCUGCUGGCCAAGUCUUCUAAUCAGUGAGGACAGGGAACCUGGUGGUCUGGGCAAGAAGCAGGUGAGUGGGCUGAGUCAUCCAGGGGGAACAGGGACCACCACCCUCCCCCCACAUGGCAGUCGGCUACCUUUGGGCGAGCCUGGACCAGGAGGGAUCUAGUAUGUGCCUGUCUCCAAAACGGGAUAGAUAACACUUAGCUAUCCUGGACCCCAUGGGACUAGAAGGGGUCCCUUCCACUGCCCUCCCCUCCAUCCCACCUAGCAGCCGUAUUGGGGGGAAGGGAGCGGGAGGACACUGGUGUUGUCCUGUUUACAUCUAAGGCCUAGGGGGCCAGGGACCAAUACUCACAAAUGAAGCAAGGUGGUGACAGAUGUGCAGGGGGGCAGCAGGCCACGGGGCAGCAGGAGUUGGAUGGGGGCCCCUCCCCCCUCACCUCCCGACACACACCCUGCACCCAGAGUAGGAGCCCAGCAGUAAGAGGCCAGAAGGGGCCUCACGCAGGCCUGAUUUUGAAUCCUGAAGCAUCCUCUCCCCACCCCCACCCAAAAAGACGGCUUUCUUCCUUCAGUAUUUAAAUGAGAAGCGAGAGCUGGAGGAGGCUCAGGAGAAGCCCCUCUCCUGCCCAGGGAGGCUUGAGGAUUUGCUUUGUUCAGAGCCAAGAGCUACAGGCUCAGUGCUUUAAAAACGUUUGAAUCAACAGAGGGAGUGUUUAUCAGCAUUUCUAAAAAAGCAAUGUAAUUAGGGGCUGGCGAACCCCCAGAGCUUCUGGCCAUGGAUGUCAAAGGCUUCCUUGCCCUGGAGCGGAGGGACAGGGGUAAAGCCACCGCAGACCGGCGGCUGGCCGCGUGGGCUCUGCCGCAAAUCCCUCUUGGCAGGCGCUCCCCGCGAGGCCCAGGAAGGACAGGCUGAUGCAGGGCCGUUUCGCAUAGGUCCACGAUUUUCUUUCCUGGGUGGUUUUUCUUUCUAAGCGUGGGGAUACGGACGUUCUAUUUGGAGAACAUUAAUUACUGCCCAAUUUUAAUGUAAUCAAUGCGAACAAAAAACCAACUUUGAACUGAGGAAAGGCAACAAAAGUAAUUUAUGGGGUGAUUUCGUGUUCACAUCCCUCAAGAUUGCCUGAGAACAUCUGUCUCAUGCAUUUAUUUCUGGUUAAAAGCAGUGAAUAAACGGCUUUUUGGUGGUUUCUGGACAACGAGGUGAGGGCUGGCCACAUCUGCCUCAGAGACUCCGGCUCAGGCCACCUCAGGCCAGGACGCCUCCUGGGACUCAAAGGAGUAGUGUCAGGAAGGUAAAAAUAGAGAGGGAAUCGGCAGCAGCUUUGACACACAGUUUUCUCAUCCCAGGGACUGCCACGUAGGGCCCUCCUGUUCCAGCUAUUCUAAGUGAAACAGAAAAAAAAGUAAGAAUAUCUGAGCACUAAAUAAAAACAGUGCUAUAUUUUAGCCACCUUUUCUGCAUUUUUCCACCUUUUCCCAAAUGCUCUUUUUGGCUCCUCUUUCCUCACCCAGCCAAAAAUGGGAUGAGGCCCAAAGUUCCGUCCUUGACCCCCUUUUCCCUCCACCUGCCCUCCCUGAGAACGGGCGUCCCCAGCUGAGGCUUCAGCUCAGGGGCCAGGGGGCGGGUGGCCGCAGCCCUGCCCGUGUCAGGCACCUUGGACAGUCCUCCUCCCAACACCCCGGAACCAGAGCCAGAGCCUCCCGUGCAAGGGGCGCGCGUGGGCUGUGUUGCUCCUCCUGGCUGUCAGACCUCAUGGCCUUGUCCAAAGGCAGGUGACCCAGGCCCCGGCCCCUCCAGGGCUCACCUUCCCUGCAGGAAGCCCUAAUACUGAACGCCAGGGGAUACGGGGUCAGCUUCCUGGAGGAAGAGACUUUUCAGCUGAGACCUGAAGCUGAGGAGUAGCCAGCCAGGCAAGGCGGCGAGGCGGUCGGGGGAGGAGGUAUCCAGCGGGAGGGUACAGUAUGAGGGAACGAAGGCCCACCCUGAAAGAGACCGGGACCACGGAGGAAACAGGAUAAGACUGGCAAAGCAUGGUAUGGUGGCUCAGGGCAUGCCUUCUAUUCUGGGGGCAAUGAAGGCGUUUUAAGCUUGGAAGGUGCUCAGGUUUGCUCAGAGAAAGAUCAUGUUGGCUUCUGCGUGGAGAAUGGAUGGUGGGGGCAAGGCUGAAGGACCAGGUGAGAGAAAACAGGCUUGGCCAGGGUGUCCCCCCAACACCCCCAGAGGUGAUCACAGUAGCUCUACCUGCUCCUGCUGGUUCACACCUUCCAAGCCUCACCAGCUCUAGGUCCACGACAACAGUCCUUGGACACCAGCUGGUACUCUGGUGCUAAGGACAAAUAGUGGCAACAUCCACUUCAAGUCCCUCUGGGACAGAGGAAGGUGGCAGCAAAGAGGGGAGAGGGGUGGCUACAAGCCUCCCCGCCCCCCGGCCUAUGGGUGCCUCCCGAUCAUUAGGGAGCCCUCAAGGGUCAAAACCCUAGCCAGGAUAGGGCCAUGGAUAAGUCUUCCCCCCAGAGUGUGGUUCUGCCACUCUCUAGCUGUGUGACUCAGACAAGUCACUUACUCUCCUCGAGCCUCAGUUUCCCUCUCCGAGUGUGGGAACAAUAAUACCCAACCUCCCCAAGCUGUUCAGAGAAUUAAACAAGAGAUUAAUCCUUGCAUGCAACAACCUUAGCACAACUUCUGACAUACACUGUGUGUCCCAAAAUGUUGAUGCUGCAGGUGCUAUCACUACACACAUGCGAGUUCACACAAGUCUUUUAAACUUUAAGGCUACAUUUUUGCCUACCUCCCUUUAUACAAGGCAGCCUAAUUGAUGCACUAGUUCAAACAGUUGGGAGCCGUUUUCCCACAGUUGCUGCCAUGCCACUUGGUACGUACAGAGGGAACCGAACCUUUUGGUGACUGACGUUGGCCUGGCUAGAAACCAUUGUAUUAAUUCAACCAAGGUUCCUUGAGUUCCUCUCAGGGCCUAGGCUCUGUCCUGGGCACUCAGGGAGCUCUGGGCUGCCAAUACAAACCCCAGUGGGUGUGCAUGUGGAGGGAGGGGCUUGACAGCUGUAGAGCUGAGCCUCAGAGGCUGGGUGCCAGGGUGUUCCAGGCACAGGGGACAGUGUGUGCAAAGGCACGGAGGCGUGAAAGAGCAUGGCAUGUUCCAGGAAAGAGAAAAGCUAGAGACUGGGGCUACCAGAAUGAAUCACUGGGAGAAAGAAAAAGGCAGAAGUGAGGCUGAGAAGGGCAGAGCCCCAUCACCAAGGGCCCCUAAGCCAGGCAACACUGGUGGAUUUGUUCUGUGCGUAGAGAGAGGUCUGGCAAUGCUGGACAAGGGCAGGAUGAACUCACACUGCUUGUGGCGGGGAUCACGGGCUGGGACAUGGAGAAUGAGGGAAGGGGCUACAUGCAGGCUUGGUCCCUGCAGGCAACCCUGCAGGCAAGAAAUGAGGAGGCCUGAAGGGAGAUGAUGGCAGGGAAGGCAGGGAGCAAGUGAUAGAAUUUGUUCCAGAGUGACAGAAUUGCAUUGUUUCCUCUCUCCCGCCCAGCAAGUAAAAGAGGGCCUGUCUCACUUUAUAAUUGUUCUUAUAUCCCCGCGCUGCGAACCCAAGUAGGGACCCAAUUUCUCCUGCCCCAGCCCCCGAAGCCUUGGGUAAGGGUUGAGUGUUGUCUGAUCUCUGAAUGGGGCAUAUUUGAUCUUCUGAUUGGGCUUGUGCAGGGUACCUCUAUUUGCAUGGGGAACAGGUUAUAUAGAGGUGGGCUGAGGAAUGGGCGACAUUCCUUUCCUCCCAGGGAGGGAGCAAACCAGGCUGCUCAAGGUGGGGGAGGGGGCAUCGCAAUAAGACUUGUCCAGAGGCUUUCGGGCUUAAUCUCGAGGGGACUUGAAGCCUGUAACACAAGGACUGGAAAUGGGCCAAAGAGCUAGGAGUGACUAGCUCUAGACAGGACAGGUUGAGGGUGAGGAAGGGGCCAAGGACAGAGCUCUUCCCAAAUGAUCAAAGGGGCCCAGGCUUGCAAAGCAUGGGAGCUGGAGCAGGGAGGGCAGGGCUGGUCCCUGGGACAGGUCUCUGGCCCCUGCCUUCCCUUCACUGCUUUCAGUCUCCUCUCUGUCUUUCUCUCUUUACCUGCCACCAAUAGGAAACCAAAUACUUUUUAAUUUUUUAAUAUAUUUCCUUUUUUUUUUUUUUGUCUUUUUGCCAUUUCUGGGGCCGCUUCCACGGCAUAUGGAGGUUGCCAGGCUAGGGGUCGAAUCGGAGCUGUAGCCGCUAGCCUACGCCAGAGCCACAGCAACGGGGGAUCCAAGGCGUGUCUGCGACCUAUACCACAGCUCAUGGCAACGCUGGAUCCUUAACCCACUGAGCAAGGCCAGGGAUCGAACUGUCAACCUCAUGGUUCCUAGUCAGAUUCGUUAACCACUGAGCCAUGACAGGAACUCCCUAUUCCUUGUUUUUAAUCUAAAAAAUUAAGUGGAAUAUUUUCUAUUUCUCCCUCAAAUAGAAAAGCAAAAAUAAUUAGUGUGCAUGAAUCUUGAUGUGUUUUUUAAAAAAAAAAAGCAGGCAGCUUUUUACCUGUGGGAUCUGCAGACCUUCCCUCAAAGCCAGAGGGCACAUUCUUCAAACCCAGGAUGAUGACAUUUUGAUAAAGUUUUUUUUUUUUUUAAUGAUUUCAUUUUGCAAGACAAACGGCUAAUAAAAUAGAAUAUAUUUUUUUUGGUAACCACCCAUACACCAAUCAAUCUGUCACUCGGAAAACUGUUUCCUGAGAGGUGUGAAAUGAGGCCACUCUAUGGGAACAGAGAGCCCCCGAGAAGGCUUCCUCUCACCCAGAUGACACUAAUCACCCCAAAUCUACUGGAUUCUGAGCACAAGAAAAACACAGUUAAUUAGUUGCUCAAUCAAUACUGACUUUUGGAAGCCGAGCAGGAGGCCGCUGUUCCAGUGUUUACAUGCAGCCACCCACACAUCAUGUGAGCGUGUAUCUCACCUAUGUUUCUUUGCAAUUCCACCCUGUUGGGAACAAAACUAAAAAGUGAUUCCCACCCUGGGGGCCUGCAGAGUAAGCUACACCUUGGGCGUUCUGCGCUGCCACCAUUCAAGUAAGAACUUACAGGGUCUAAACAAACAAACAAAAACUUAAAGGGUUGUUUCAACACCACCAACAAAAAUUUUAAAGGACAGGUUUCAGCCAUAAAACACAUCCCCUCUGUGCCCACUUGAAGUCACCAUGAGAACCAAGAGGCCCUCCCCUCACUCACCCAGUCUUACCAUCUCUGCUUGGCUGCUUUGUGUUUUUUCUACCUUCAUUUUCCCUUAGCCCUAAUUCUCUCACUACUUUUAAAAAAAGUCUAUUACAGUGCACAUAGAACACAGUUUAAGUCGCCUUGAAUCUCUUCUAGAUCAAGAUGAAAUAAAUCUUAAUUCAUCAGAACCUCCCUCAAAGCAGCCCUAACUGCAGAAUUCUCCUGCAUAAAACUUAGAAGGGAAGCUGCCACCUUAGUGAGCACAGAGUAGGCCCUUGAAAAAGUCAAUUAAUUUGUUUUUUUAGAUGAUGAAAUCUGCAAAACCUCAGGAACAAGUAAGGUGAACUGAGUAAUAACUACUUUGAAAGAAAUAAAUGACUAGCAGGCCCAGUUCAGAACCACCACCACCAAAAGACGGCUGUAAUUCCAUGACUAUAAAAGAACUGAAAAACAUCUGAAUCUAGUAGUUUGCAUAACUGAAACAAUAGAAUAAAUGAAUCAGUGAUGCUGAGGAUAAAAUAAAAACAUCCAACCAGAAAUGGAGACACAGAAAACAAACAGAGGCUCAAAUAACUGACUGGGAAAAUGGGGAACAGUGUCACAGCCCUGAAACUGGAGGGAGGUAUAUGAUGAAGAAAACAUCUAGGAAAAAAAUAACACAAGAAAAGUUUCCAGAGAUGAAAAACAACUCGGCAUAGAACUAAAGUACACAAACUGUGCCUUUCAAGUUUGACUCUCAGGGAAAGAAAUAAACAUUUUCUAGUUAAAUUUUUGAAUGAUAAAUUAUCUGGCAAGAUGAAGUGAAGGAAGAUAGGUUCUUUUGAAAUUGGAAUGACAAGAAUGACAAGAGAAUUGACAUCACGAGACUGAAGAUAAACCCCAGGAAAAAAUGUGCAAUUCUAAACAGACAUCAGUUUGCUCCUAAACAAGACUUGCUUUGUGUAAGCAGAAGAAAGCAAAGACAUUUAAAAACUGGGGAGGAGUUCCCGUCGUGGCUCAGUGGUUAAUGAACCUGACUAGUUCAAUCCCUGGACACGGGUUAAAUCCCUGGCCUUGCUCAGGGGUUAAGGAUCCGUCAUUGCUACGAGCUAUGGUGCAGGUCACAAAGGAGGCUUGGAUCUGGUGUUGCUGUGGCUUUGAUGUAGGCUGACAGCUGUAGCUCAGAUUUGACCCCUAGCUUGGAACCUCCAUAUACCAUGGGUGUAGACCUAAAAAGACAAAAGACCAAAAAAAAAAAAAAAAAAAAA
rnacentral:lncRNA from 1 species